rnacentral:tRNA from 1 species
CGUAGCUUAAAUCUUAAAGCAUAACACUGAAGAUGUUAUUAUGAACCCUAGAAAGUUCCGAAAGCACAAAGGCUUG